rnacentral:rRNA from 1 species
UACAGAGGGGCCAGCGUUAUUCGGAAUUAUUGGGCGUAAAGGGCGCGUAGGCGGCCUGCUAAGUCGAACGUGAAAUCCCCGGGCUCAACCCGGGAACUGCGUCCGAUACUGGCAGGCUUGAAUCCGGGAGAGGGAUGCGGAAUUCCAGGUGUAGCGGUGAAAUGCGUAGAUAUCUGGAGGAACACCGGUGGCGAAGGCGGCAUCCUGGACCGGCAUUGACGCUGAGGCGCGAAAGCCAGGGGAGCAAACGGG